rnacentral:rRNA from 1 species
CCUACGGGUGGCAGCAGUGAGGAAUAUUGGUCAAUGGGCGGAAGCCUGAACCAGCCAAGUAGCGUGCGGGAUGAAGGCCCUACGGGUCGUAAACCGCUUUUGCACGGGGAUAACACCCUCCACUUGUGGAGGUCUGCAGGUACCGUGCGAAUAAGGGCCGGCUAAUUCCGUGCCAGCAGCCGCGGUAAUACGGAAGGCCCGAGCGUUAUCCGGAUUCAUUGGGGUUAAAGGGAGCGUAGGCGGGCGUUCAAGUCAGCGGUAAAAUCGCGCGGCUCAACCGCGCCCCGCAGUUGAAACUGGGGAUCUAGAGUGUGCGAGAGGUAUGCGGAAUGCGUGGUGUAGCGGUGAAAUGCAUAGAUAUCACGCAGAACCCCGAUUGCGAAGGCAGCAUACCGGUGCACAACUGACGCUCAGGCACGAAAGCGUGGGUAUCGAACAGGAUUAGAUACCCGUGUAGUC